UCCGUAGGCGGUGCGGCAAGUCGGAAGUGAAAUCUCAGGGCUUAACCCUGAGGCUGCUUCCGAAACUGCCGUGCUCGAGUGCGAGAGAGGCGAGUGGAAUUGCAGGUGUAGCGGUGAAAUGCGUAGAUAUCUGCAGGAACAUCCGAGGCGAAAGCGGCUCGCUGGAUCGCAACUGACGCUGAGGGACGAAAGCUAGGGGAGCAAACAGGAUUAGAUACCCUGGUAGUCCUAGCCCUAAACGAUCAGGACUGGGCGUGGGCCUCGUACGGGGCUCGUGCCGCAGCUAACGCGUUAAGUCCUGCGCCUGGGAAGUACGGUCGCAAGGCUGAA
rnacentral:rRNA from 1 species